CCCAGACUCCUACGGGAGGCAGCAGUGGGGCCUCUUGCACAAUGGGGGCCACCCUGAUGCAGCGCCGCCGCGUGAGUGAAGAAGUAUUUCGGUAUGUAAAGCUCUCUCAGCAGGGAAGAAAAUGACGGUCCCUGACUAAGAAGCCCCGGCUAACUACGUGCCAGCAGCCGCGGUAAUACGUAGGGGGCAAGCGUUAUCCGGAUUUACUGGGUGUAAAGGGAGCGUAGACGGCAUGGCAAGUCAGAUGUGAAAGCCCGGGGCUCAACCCCGGGACUGCAUUUGAAACUGUCAGGCUGGAGUGCAGGAGAGGUAAGUGGAAUUCCUAGUGUAGCGGUGAAAUGCGUAGAUAUUAGGAGGAACACCGGUGGCGAAGGCGGCUUACUGGACUGUAACUGACGUUGAGGCUCGAAAGCGUGGGGAGCACACAGGAUUAGAUACCCUGGUAU
rnacentral:rRNA from 1 species